rnacentral:tRNA from 1 species
GGGAGUGUUGCUGAGCGGUCAAAAGUGCCAGAUUGUAAAUCUGAUGGAAAUUUCCUUCAAAGGUUCGAAUCCUUUCGCUCCCA